CCUCCCACCCCUACCUGUCUCAGGAGUCCUAACUCCAGACCCUCCUUGUCUUUCAGUAUCUGUCUCGGACACUGGGCCUGGAUUCUGUCUCCUUUGGUUACCUACAGACGACCUUCGGGGUGCUUCAGCUGCUGGGUGGGCCUGUGUUUGGCAGGUUCGCAGACCAGCGGGGAGCCAGAGCAGCACUCACACUCUCCUUCCUGGCGGCCUCUGCUCUGUACCUGCUCCUGGUGGCCUCCUGUAGCCCAGCCCUGCCUGGUGUCUUCCUGCUCUUCGCCUCGCGUCUACCUGCCGCACUCAUGCACACACUUCCAGCUGCCCAGAUGGUCAUCACUGAUCUGACGGCGCCCACAAAGCGGCCCACAGCACUGAGCCGGCUGGGCCUCUGCUUUGGCAUUGGAGUUAUCUUCGGCUCCCUGCUUGGUGGGACCCUUAGCACCGCAUACGG
rnacentral:lncRNA from 1 species